rnacentral:rRNA from 1 species
CAGUCGCCACGGGAAUACGUAGGGUGCAAGCGUUAAUCGGAAUUACUGGGCGUAAAGCGUGCGCAGGCGGUUUGUUAAGACAGAUGUGAAAUCCCCGGGCUCAACCUGGGAACUGCAUUUGUGACUGGCAAGCUAGAGUGUGGCAGAGGGGGGUGGAAUUCCGCGUGUAGCAGUGAAAUGCGUAGAUAUGCGGAGGAACACCGAUGGCGAAGGCAGCCCCCUGGGCCAACACUGACGCUCAUGCACGAAAGCGUGGGGAGCAAACAGGAUUAGAUACCCCCGUAGUCCCUGUCUCUUAUAC